UAAUAAAUUUACUUACCUGUGCCACAUUUGCGAUGUUGCCAUCGGUUGCAAAAAUUAACGGCUUUUAAUUAAAAAACUGAAACAUCUAUUACUCAAGGAAAAAUAUUGUGACUAACGAACAAUUCAUACUGUAUGCGAUAAUUGGCGAUAAUUUUGCCGACUUUGAUGAUAAAUUUAACGGCUUUUAAGUAGACUAAUAAAAAAGUUUUGACUAUUUAAUAGAUAUGAUAAUUAUAUUCAGCACCACUAUUCAAUGAUAAUAAAAACUAUUGUAUGGCCUUUCUGGUAUACCAUGAGGCCUUUUUGGUUCACUUAUGCGGCCGAUUCGCGUAGCCAUUUUUAUGACGGACUUCGGCGGAGUGACCCCCCUUGAAAUCGGUGGGCGUGGCUUCACUCUCGCUGUCGAAAGUAUAAUUGUUUUCUGUAAGGAGCAAGUGUUUAUUUGAAAUUCACUACGUAAGUUGCGUGAUUAUAUAAUUGAUUGUUUUUCUUUCAAUACAUGAUUCAAACACCUAGGUGACUUCAGUAAGGAGUCUUAAGAAGAGUCAUAAACGUAAUCAAUAUACUGUUUGCCUC